GUGGGGAGAGCUUAGUUGGUAGAGCAUCAAACUAAAAAUUUGAAGGCCAUUUGUUCAAUACACUAUCACAGCA
rnacentral:tRNA from 1 species